rnacentral:misc_RNA from 1 species
CCAGAGUCCACGGCUUGAUUUGCCCCCGAUUUCCUACUUUGAUCAAGUUCCUUGUUCUUCCAGAAUAAAUUUGGGUUUUGUCCACACGGCCUGUUUUGACAAUAUAUGAAACCUGUUGCUCACAAGCCCGUCCAUCUUUCACACGCCUUGUGCUGCAAGGAAGCUUAUUUCCCUCCUGCGUGUCUACUCCACUUCUCCCUAUAUAUUUAAAUCUCUUCCUCUCCAUUUGCGUGUUUGUUAAUUUUUCUUUUCUUACUCAUGAUUAAUUGACAGCAAUUAAUUCCAGGUCACAUCUUUGAAUCUCAAUUGAAAAUGAAGAAAGUAGUUUUGAAAUUGGACCUACACGAUGACAAGGCCAAGAAAAAGGCCCUGAAAGCAGUUUCGGGCAUUCCAGGGAUUGACUCCAUUGCCAUGGAUAUGAAGGAGAGGAAAUUAACAGUUACUGGAGAUGUUGAUCCUGUAACCAUUGUAGGCAAGUUAAGGAAAGUCUGGCACACAGAGAUUGUGUCUGUCGGACCGGCGAAAGAGGAGAAGAAAGAUGAUGGGAAGAAAGAUGAUGCCAAGAAAGAUGAUGGGAAGAAAGAUGAUGCCAAGAAAGAUGAUGGGAAGAAAGAUGAUGCC